rnacentral:lncRNA from 1 species
AGGUAGAGCGGUCGAUCUCAGGAGAAGAUCGGUCGAUCCGACGCGUAUGGAUCGGUCGAUCUAAGGUAAGUAUUGCCCGGUUUGAUUUCACUUAAUUUAAACCGGAAAACACCCAUAAAACACCCAACUCGCGAAAAUAUCAAUCAAAACACAUAUCAUUUCAUCUUCCUCUCCUCUCAAACUCUCUCAAACCUCUCAAGAAC